GACGAACGCUGGCGGCGUGCUUAACACAUGCAAGUCGAACGAAGUGGCGAACGGGUGAGUAACGGGUAAUCAACCUGCCCUUCAGAGGGGGCGAACAGUUGGAAACGACUGCUAAUACCGCAUACUGACUGAGGGGCUUGAGUCUGAUUAGCUAGUUGGAGGGGUAACGGCCCACCAAGGCGAUGAUCAGUAGCCGGUCUGAAAAGAUGAACGGCCACAAUGGGACUGAGACACGGCCCAGACUCCUACGGGAGGCAGCAGUGGGGAAUCUUCCGCAAUGGACGAAAGUCUGACGGAGCAACGCCGCGUGAGUGAUGACGGCCUUCGGGUUGUAAAGCUCUGUUAAUCGGGACGCGGUACCGGAAUAGAAAGCCACGGCUAACUACGUGCCAGCAGCCGCGGUAAUUC
rnacentral:rRNA from 1 species